rnacentral:misc_RNA from 1 species
GAUGAAGAACGUAGCGAAAUGCGAUAAGUAAUGUGAAUUGCAGAAUUCAGUGAAUCAUCGAAUCUUUGAACGCACAUUGCGCCCGCCAGUAUUCUGGCGGGCAUGCCUGUUCGAGCGUCAUUUCAACCAUCAAGCCCCCGGCUUGUGUUGGGGACCUGCGGCUGCCGCAGGCCCUGAAGACCAGUGGCGGGCUCGCUAGUCACUCCGAGCGUAGUAAUACAUCUCGCUCAGGGCGUGCUGCGGGUUCCGGCCGUUAAAAAGCCUUAUUUACCCAAGGUUGACCUCGGAUCAGGUAGGAAGACCCGCUGAACUUAAGCAUAUCAAUAAGCGGAGGA